rnacentral:rRNA from 1 species
CCUACGGGGGGCAGCAGUGAGGAAUAUUGGUCAAUGGACGGAAGGCUGAACCAGCCAUGCCGCGUGCAGGAAGACGGCGCUAUGAGUUGUAAACUGCUUUUGUACAAGGGUAAACCUGAAUACGUGUAUUCAGCUGAAAGUACUGUACGAAUAAGGAUCGGCUAACUCCGUGCCAGCAGCCGCGGUAAUACGGAGGAUCCAAGCGUUAUCCGGAUUUAUUGGGUUUAAAGGGUGCGUAGGCGGAUUGAUAAGUUAGAGGUGAAAAGUCCGGGCUUAACUCGGGAACUGCCUUUAAUACUGUCUAUCUAGAGAGUUCGUGCGGUAUGCGGAAUGCAUGGUGUAGCGGUGAAAUGCUUAGAGAUCAUGCAGAACACCGAUUGCGAAGGCAGCUUACCAAUCUAUAUCUGACGUUGAGGCACGAAAGCGUGGGGAGCAAACAGGAUUAGAUACCCGAGUAGUC